rnacentral:lncRNA from 1 species
UGACAACCACUUGAGGACCGAGGCCCAGAAAAUAGCAAAAACCUGCUCCCAACCAAGUACCGAAGGUGUGGCUUCAGCCUCUCUAGGUGGGAACAUUUGCAGAUAGAAGCCUUGCAGAAGAAAACUGCAGAAAGGCAGGAAAUUACAUAAUGGAAACUCACCUGCUUGAUGGAGAAUAGCCGUCCUUGCGCAUGAGGGCAUAUGCCAACAAACUGGGAGUCCAGCCAAGAUGACAGAUCAGAAAAAUGAGUUCUGUUUCUCUCCAGAUAUGUAUAUGUUCAUAGUGGUUCUCCCUGGCCCUGGAAGCGCUCCCUGGAAGUCUGAGGAAGAACAAGGAAAUCCCUACAUUUCAAUCAGUACCGAGGUGGUAAGUCAGAGGAGUUCUUGCCUGUAAAAUCUAGAGGAGUUUUUCCUUCAUAUUUUCACCUUCUCCUUGGAGAUACAUUUAAAUAAAUCUUUAUU